rnacentral:rRNA from 1 species
GGGCAGCGGAUGCUUAGCUUGCUAAGUAUGCCGGCGACCGGCGCACGGGUGAGUAACGCGUACCGAACCUGCCCAUCACACAGGGAUAGGCUUGCGAAAGCAAGAUUAAUACCUGAUGGUCUCAGUUGUAUGCAUGUAUGAUUGAGUAAAGCCUUCGGGCGGUGAUGGAUGGCGGUGCGUCCCAUUAGGAAGUUGGCGGGGUAACGGCCCACCAAUCCUUCGAUGGGUAGGGGUUCUGAGAGGAAGGUCCCCCACAUUGGAACUGAGAUACGGUCCAAACUCCUACGGGAGGCAGCAGUGAGGAAUAUUGGUCAAUGGGCGAGAGCCUGAACCAGCCAAGUAGCGUGUGGGAUGAAGGCCCUUGUGGUCGUAAACCGCUUUUAUCAGUGAAUAAAGUGCACCACGUGUGGUGUCAUUGCAGGUAGCUGAAGAAAAAGGACCGGCUAAUUCCGUGCCAGCAGCCGCGGUAAUACGGAAGGUCCGGGCGUUAUCCGGAAUUAUUGGGUUUAAAGGGAGCGCAGGCGGGAGUAUAAGUCAGCUGUUAAAUAUCAGGGCCCAACUCUGUUAUGCAGUUGAAACUAUAUUUCUUGAGUACGCACAGGGAUGGCGGAAUUCAGGGUGUAGCGGUGAAAUGCUUAGAUAUCCUGAAGAACUCCGAUCGCGAAGGCAGCCAUCCGGAGCG